GAACUCGCAGGGGAGGGGCCACGUUCGGGAGGGUGUCCCUCCCAGGGCGAGGCUCAGCUAUCGCCCUCCGGCUGUAUUGACUCCUGCAAAUCCCCCAAACAUAACAAUCGAAAGUGCAUAAUUUCUGCUAGUGCAAGUGGAGGAGCUGGGAGCUCCCAUCCCUCGG
ensembl:snRNA U1 U1 spliceosomal RNA